rnacentral:tRNA from 1 species
GCGAGGUAGCUUAGUUGGCUAGAGCGUCCGGUUCAUACCCGGAAGGUCAUGGGUUCGAAUCCCAUCUUCGC